GACGAACGCUGGCGGCGUGCUUAACACAUGCAAGUCGAACGGAAAGGCCCUGCUUUUGUGGGGUGCUCGAGUGGCGAACGGGUGAGUAACACGUGAGUAACCUGCCCUUGACUUUGGGAUAACUUCAGGAAACUGGGGCUAAUACCGGAUAGGAGCUCCUGCUGCAUGGUGGGGGUUGGAAAGUUUCGGCGGUUGGGGAUGGACUCGCGGCUUAUCAGCUUGUUGGUGGGGUAGUGGCUUACCAAGGCUUUGACGGGUAGCCGGCCGGAGAGGGUGACCGGCCACAUUGGGACUGAGAUACGGCCCAGACUCCUACGGGAGGCAGCAAUGGGGAAUAUUGCACAAUGGGCGGAAGCCUGAUGCAGCAACGCCGCGUGCGGGAUGACGGCCUUCGGGUUGUAAACCGCUUUCGCCUGUGACGAAGCGUGAGUGACGGUAAUGGGUAAAGAAGCACCGGCUAACUACGUG
rnacentral:rRNA from 1 species